UACGGAGGAUGCAAGCGUUAUCCGGAAUGAUUGGGCGUAAAGCGUACGCAGGUGGCUGUGUAAGUCUGCUGUUAAAGAGUGAGGCUCAACCUCAUAAAGGCAGUGGAAACUACAUGGCUAGAGUGCGUUCGGGGCAGAGGGAAUUCCUGGUGUAGCGGUGAAAUGCGUAGAGAUCAGGAAGAACACCGGUGGCGAAAGCGCUCUGCUAGGCCGCAACUGACACUGAGGGACGAAAGCUAGGGGAGCGAAUGGG
rnacentral:rRNA from 1 species